UACAGCUUUCUCCCUCGUUUUUCGUAUUCAUUGGGCGUAAAGGGUGCGUAGGUGGCGGGGUAAGUCUGGUGUGAAAUCUCGGGGCUCAACCCCGAAACUGCACUGGAUACUGCCUUGCUUGAGUACUGGAGAGGAGAUUGGAAUUUACGGUGUAGCAGUGAAAUGCGUAGAUAUCGUAAGGAAGACCAGUGGCGAAGGCGAAUCUCUGGACAGUUACUGACACUGAGGCACGAAGGCCAGGGGAGCAAACGGG
rnacentral:rRNA from 1 species